rfam:Salmo salar isolate Sally breed double haploid chromosome ssa16, whole genome shotgun sequence.
AAACAGGCUCUUUUAAGAGUCACCCAUAUUUAAAAAAUGUAGAAC